rnacentral:rRNA from 1 species
UAAAACUCAAAGGAAUNGACGGGGACCCGCACAAGCGUGGAUGAUGUGGAUUAAUUCGAUGCAACGCGAAAANCCUUACCUACCCNUGACAUGUCAGAAACUUGGCAGAGAUGCCUUGGUGCCCGAAAGGGAAUCUGAACACAGGUGCUGCAUGGCUGUCGUCAGCUCGUGUCGUGAGAUGUUGGGUUAAGUCCCGCAACGAGCGCAACCCUUGUCGUUAAUUGCCAUCAUUUAGUUGGGCACUUUAACGAGACUGCCGGUGACAAACCGGAGGAAGGUGGGGAUGACGUCAAGUCCUCAUGGCCCUUAUGGGUAGGGCUUCACACGUCAUACAAUGGUCGGUACAGAGGGUUGCCAAGCCGCGAGGUGGAGCCAAUCCCAGAAAGCCGAUCGUAGUCCGGAUUGCAGGCUGCAACUCGCCUGCAUGAAGUCGGAAUCGCUAGUAAUCGCGGAUCAGCAUGUCGCGGUGAAUACGUUCCCGGGUCUUGUACACACCGCCCGUCACACCAUGGGAGCGGGUUCCGCCAGAAGUAGGUAGCCUAACCGCAAGGGGGGCGCUUACCACGGCGGGGUUCGUGACUGGGGUGAAGUCGUAACAAGGUAGCCGUAGGGGAACCUGCGGCUGGAUC